ACAAAUUGUUACGAUACUUUAACGUGGAGUUAAUCAUAAAAAUCUAUCAUAGUUCGGAUUGUUUUCUGAAAGUUGAAAGCAUGAAGUCGAAAUCGUUAGUAAUCGUAAAUUAGUACGUUACGGUGAAUUCAAAAUUAAAUUCUGCACACACCGCCCAUCACGCUCGGAAAAUGA
rnacentral:rRNA from 1 species